UCCAAUGUCAAAGAGAAGGCCUUGGAGCUCAUCCUUAAGCAUGCUGCCUCAGAUAUUCGGGAGCUAUUUUUCUAGUAGAUGCUCUUCAAAGUCAGCUUGAGUCUUGUCGAUUCCAAUGGUAAGCUUGUGCCAUGGUUUGUUUUAGUUUUAUUAUGUCCUCAAGCUCUAACCUUUUCUCGAUUUUUUAUUUCAGAGAUGGAGCUCGAGGAGCUGGAGGCAGUUCAACAUGUAGCCC
rnacentral:lncRNA from 1 species